rnacentral:rRNA from 1 species
GGGUUGUGAGGUUAAGCGACUAAGCGUACACGGUGGAUGCCCUGGCAGUCAGAGGCGAUGAAGGACGUGCUAAUCUGCGAUAAGCGCCGGUAAGGUGAUAUGAACCGUUAUAACCGGCGAUUUCCGAAUGGGGAAACCCAGUGUGACUCGUCACACUAUCAUUAACUGAAUCCAUAGGUUAAUGAGGCGAACCGGGGGAACUGAAACAUCUAAGUACCCCGAGGAAAAGAAAUCAACCGAGAUUCCCCCAGUAGCGGCGAGCGAACGGGGAGGAGCCCAGAGCCUGAAUCAGCAUGUGUGUUAGUGGAAGCGUCUGGAAAGGCGCGCGAUACAGGGUGACAGCCCCGUACACAAAAGCGCAUGUGCUGUGAGCUCGAUGAGUAGGGCGGGACACGUGGUAUCCUGUCUGAAUAUGGGGGGACCAUCCUCCAAGGCUAAAUACUCCUGACUGACCGAUAGUGAACCAGUACCGUGAGGGAAAGGCGAAAAGAACCCCGGCGAGGGGAGUGAAAAAGAACCUGAAACCGUGUACGUACAAGCAGUGGGAGCCCCACCACCAAAGCAUUCUCUGGUGUUGAAGGCCCUGCAAAGCAGCAUCGCGGUGGCGGAGCGUCGUUUGCGACGCCCAACACACAAAACAAGCGGUGAGUGCUUUGGGGUGGGGUGACUGCGUACCUUUUGUAUAAUGGGUCAGCGACUUAUAUUCUGUAGCAAGGUUAACCGAAUAGGGGAGCCGUAGGGAAACCGAGUCUUAACCGGGCGUUAAGUUGCAGGGUAUAGACCCGAAACCCGGUGAUCUAGCCAUGGGCAGGUUGAAGGUUGGGUAACACUAACUGGAGGACCGAACCGACUAAUGUUGAAAAAUUAGCGGAUGACCUGUGGCUGGGGGUGAAAGGCCAAUCAAACCGGGAGAUAGCUGGUUCUCCCCGAAAGCUAUUUAGGUAGCGCCUCGUGAAUUCAUCUCCGGGGGUAGAGCACUGUUUCGGCUAGGGGGCCAUCCCGGCUUACCAACCCGAUGCAAACUGCGAAUACCGGAGAAUGUUAUCACGGGAGACACACGGCGGGUGCUAACGUCCGUCGUGAAGAGGGAAACAACCCAGACCGCCAGCUAAGGUCCCAAAGUCAUGGUUAAGUGGGAAACGAUGUGGGAAGGCCCAGACAGCCAGGAUGUUGGCUUAGAAGCAGCCAUCAUUUAAAGAAAGCGUAAUAGCUCACUGGUCGAGUCGGCCUGCGCGGAAGAUGUAACGGGGCUAAACCAU